AUCCGAACUGGUAAACCCUGGGCCACCGAAGCGGAAUGUGCGCACUUUACCGCUGUGCCACCGUGCUGGCCCGACUCAAAUUAUUUUUUUCAUCUACAAGAACUUAUUCAUAUAAGAGGAAAACAGGCUGAGCAUUCUGAUUUAGGACACUGUUUUAAAGUUAUAUUCUGCACUUGACAUGGCCUUUUGAUAUCAGUGCACUCUGAUUAUAAUGCUAAAUAAAAACAAGGGAAAUUUUUCCUAACUACCACUAGGAUAAUGGCAAAGCCAAAUUAGAGGCAACGCCACAGCAAAGAGCUAUGCUGGAUGAAACGCUGAGUCAUGCUUGUGGGAAGUACAAAUGUGGUUUCACAUUCCAAGAGACAUAUUCAUCAUCACUCUUCUGGAUUCUCUCCUCGCUUGCCCCCUCGAUAACUCCUCUUUCCCUGCCCCUCGACUCUGCCUUUCCACGGGGUCCCUGACAGGCACUUGGCAGGGGAGGCUGCUGGGCUGACAGUCCUAUGCCGCAGCUGCCCUGGCCACGAAGCGAAGGAUGCUGCCGGGCUGCGUCAGGGCCCGCCCAGUGCAAGUCACUCUCUGAAACAGCAGAGCUGAUAUCAUCCUUCCAGGAACCCUGCAAAAGAAGCCACCACAGAUACGGAACCAGCGACGGGGCUCCUUAAAGGGAGAAGUAGGGCAUCGAUGAGCAUUACGGAGCCUAUCUAGCAGCACCCUGUCUGAAGCAGUUCACACACAAUCACAAAUCAGAGGACAGGCAGUGAAAGGCUUUGCUUCUGAUGACCAUCUCCCAACCCUGCUGACCGGGGCUCUUGGGGGAUGAGCCCCCGCAGGCACCUCCUGUGGGUCAUGCUGCCACGCACUACCACACGGGCUGGGACCUGUAAGCAGGGUGAAUGUAGGGGAAGCACAGGAACCCGGCUCGAGAUGCGGCUCAGGUGGGCUCAGUCUGGCUGUUGGGCAGAAAGGUGCUCCAUGCACAGAACGCAGCAAGGCCCCUUGACUGAAACCGGUGCCCACUCAAGACGCUUUCCCCACGACCAGCUUUACCGUCCUCGCAGUGUGAAUUCUUGUUGUUACCAAGGGGUUCUAGGAUGUUCUCUGACGUCAAAUGCUGCUCAGACAGCAAAACCACAUUUUGACAAAUUUAAGGAGAAACAGACCAAAACCGUUCAUGGAUUUAAUUGCUCAUAAAACACAGAUGGAUUGAAAAGAUUAAGAGGGAAAAUAUCUGGGCAAAAUAAACUCGGAGUUAGUAAACACACAGCACAUGUGAAAACUGUUUGAGACAGUGGGAACAAAGUACUGGGGUCAGAUCACCCAGCCCCGUUAGUGAUCUCUGAUCUCGGCCUCAGGCAGCCAAUGGCAGCAUGAGUCCCGUGCAAGGCCCUGUACACUGCCCGUCUAAUGGAGGGAAGCCCGGCCCCAGGACGCCCCAGGGCGGGAAGACCCUCCAGGAGCACAGUGCACCCAAGAGCCCUUCCUAAUACACCAGGGGCAGCUUUCACAGCCCCCCAGGCCGCAAAGCAUUCAUAUUGGCUGCUUUCCCACUGGCUCGUGGCUGUUCCAGUGAGCCGAGAGCAGGAUCUAAUCUGACUUCAGCUUGAAACAGGAAUUACGUAAGAAAGUUAGGAGAAUUCCUGGAUUUGGAGCUCGCCCUUCAAAUAUACCUCUUUUGAAAUAUUGGUGGCCUUCUUAAGCACGGUCCGAGGUUCCUGACAUUUGAGUUUCUAAUUUAAGACUCACUUAUUGGGGCUUACUUGCCUUCCUCAGUAUUUCAGCCAUUCUGAAAAUAGAAUUGGAGGACAUUUUCCCAAAUUUCCUUCAAGACAUAUGCUAUUUUAUUAAUUAUUUACUCAGAGUAAUUACACCAGGAAAUCAUCGCCCUUCAUCAGUUUAACCGCAGUUAAUAGCAAAUGCAUAGAUUCCUUUUGGAAGGAUGUCUCACACGGUGUCUCAAAUGGCAUAGUGGAAAAACUUGAGCACACCGUCAUUAGGGGCGUCAGUAUCUACUCUCAGCAAAUCCUAUUGCCCCUGUGACAUUCCAGGUUAGCUAAAACUGCAUGUGGCUUAAUGUUGCAAAUAAUAUGAUUAUUUUAUGAACGUUUUCCUGCAACAAGAACAGACCUAGAUAUGAAAAAUGAUGCUCAAUAUAGUAAUCUGAAAGCUAUUCUAAAAGUGAGUUAGACACAGCUACAACUAUACUUGCUAGAAACAGUGUCCUCACUUAACCAUUUUCUCUGUAAUUUGAAUUGCCCUCUUUUAGCAUCUGUCAGCAAUGAGGCAUCUUGUUGAGCUUGUAACCCAGCAGGAGGGUAAGAUAGUGUUUAAGAUAAUCAGAACUUCCCCCACAGCAACACACACAUUAUUUUAUUUUCUAUUCUUCCUGGUAAAUCUCAGAUAUUUAUCCUACUGUAUGAGCUAAAAUUAUUUUCGCUCAAGGCUGCCCCAUCUUCCUCCCAAAGAAGCAUAACAAGAAAUUGGGUUUCAAAUGAAUAUUGCAUUUGACCCUAAAGAAUACCAUAUGAAAAUGGGUGCCAAAAUCCAGUGUUCAGGUUGAUGUUGUUGACUGUUUUCUUUAAAUCCCUUUACAGAUGUCACCUCCCACCAUACUCCUCCCUCCACUUUGGGACGAGUGUUUCUCAUACUUCAAGAGGCAGCUCAAUAUUUGCCUUGUCUAGGAACAUUUUCAUGGUUCUUGUAGCAUCUCAUUCUGAGUUAGGAUGCUUUCAUGUGCUCCUAUAGGACCUAGUGCCUACCUCUAUCUCAAAACUUACAUCAUUUUGUAAGGGGCAAUUUAUUUGUCUAUCCUGCCCACUGAUUUCAGUGGAAGUCCAAGUACAGAUCUUCUAUUUCUGAGAAUUCAUACAUAAACGCCUCCGAGCAGUCGACUGAAAGCCCCCUGAAGGCAGCCGUCUUGUCUGCCUCUCUCAUUGUGAUGUCUCCUGACACAUGACAGAUGCUCAGUAGAUUUUUGUCCAAUGAAGUAGCGAAUUUCAAUUUAGUAGAAUAAGUGUAAUAUACUCAGUAACUGAUGCUGUCAUAAUUGUACAAAUCUCUGGAAGGAAAAGUUUCUCUCUGGGCCAGAUGUAGGCAAACUCUAGCCCACGGCCUACUUUUGUACCUAGGGCAGCCAAAUGUGGCUUUUAUAGUUUCGAAUCAUUUUUUAAAAAAUCAAAAGGAGAACAACGUUUCAUGAUGUGAAAAUUAUACGAAACUCAAAUUUCAGAGUCCACAAGUACAGUUUUAUUGGGACCCAGCAUGGUCAUCCCGUGUGUGUCUGGUCUCACACUACAGCUGCAGACUGGACCAGCGGUGACAUGACAGCUGCGUGGUCUCCUCGCUCUGCACUGUGGUGCACCACAGAUCCAUGGCUUCUCUGGUGCCACUUGUACUGUCGUCCUGUGACAUUUUAUUUUAUUUCAGUACACUUCAUCUUGUCAAUCAAGAGAGGAGGAGGAAAGCAGACACCAAAUGUCACACUUUCAGGGCACAGUGGGGUGGAUUAUUUGCUAUGCUGAAGAAUACAGAAUGCAUCGACAUUACCAGACUAAACAUUCAUCACCAGAUUCCCAACUACAGGCAGAAAACUAGAAAAUUUAAAAUGGAACACCUUAUGACAGUGGAAUUUCUCAUAAAAAUUAUCUUUCUAUAGAUAGAAAGAUAGAUAGAUAAAUAUGUAGAUAGAUAAAUAAGUAGAUAGAUAGGUAUAGAUAUAGCUACAACCAAAGUAAGUUUCCAAGUGUCUCGUUUAUUAACCAAGCAAACAAAGCCAUUUGGGGACGUUCGGUUAACUAGAUUGCGUUUGAUUGCAGCAGUUGAAGAAAUGCGUCCAGAGAAAAUGAAUCUGUUUAAGAGCACCAGUUCUUUAGCGCGCACGCUUCUGUGAAGAGCUGAGGACAUCAGGAGGAACCACAGUAGUCGAUUUAAGAGCAAAAUUAUAAAACUAUUACAGACAAUUACAAAAGGCAAAAUUAUAAUCCGUUAGAUGACGAUAUGAGAAGUGAUCUUUAUCACUUUGGGGAUGGGAAAGCUUUUUAAACAAGACUAAAAUAUUGCAAACCCAUAAAGGGGAAGAUUUAAAAUUCCUAUUUCAAUAAGUUAAAAACUUAGAUCAUUCAAUAGAUAUUAUAAUCUCAUAAUGAAAGAAUGCAAAUUAGAAUUACCCUUUUUCAAGCAACAAAAAUCCAAAAUUUCAGAUCUCACCAAAACGGCAAGUUUGGGAGGAAAGAGGUCCUCUCCUUCACCAGCCGUGGGAAAAUAUAGAAUUUAAAAUAAAUAAAUAAAAUAAAUCUAGGCCCUUAAGUUAAAAACUUCAAUGAUUUUUUUAAGGUAUAUUAGUAAAAAUUGGAAAGAUAAGCCAUUUAACUAUGCUAUGAUCCUGGUGACACAUAUAAAUGAUAAAUUUUUAUUAUUCAGCAAGUGUACCUAACUACAAAUUAACUAUUAGAAAAAGGUUAAAUUGCACUACAGAAAUGGACAAAAAGAUUGAACAUCACUUUAUAUUAGACUCUCAGUGAUUAGAGGAAGCCACUAGAGUUAAUGAAGUUCUGAAUACCAUUAAUCUCAUUAAAAAUCUGGGACAUGCAAAUCAGCAUCAAAAUGAGAUGCCUUUCACUCUCAUCCAACUGGAGACAACUCAACGUCUGAUGACAUCGUGUGGGUGAGGAUGGAGCUGGAGGAGCUCUUGUGUACUGCCACUGAGAGUGGAAAUUGGUACAGCUACUGUACUUUAGAAAACAAAUUCCACUCCUCAGAAUACCCUUAAGAUACAUGUGUAGCAGAAUAUAGAGAGACAGCAUUCAUAGAGCGUGGCUUACAAUGGCAAGAAACUGGAUACAACCAAAACUCCACCAAGAGCAGAAGGAUAAAUAAAUUGGGGUAUAUUCAUUUGGUGGAAUUCUACACAGCGGUGAAAAUGAAUGAAAUAAACUUAAAGCAACAACACAGAUGAAUUUCACAAACACAAUAUUUAGUAUGAAGAUGAGUCACAAAUACCUGCUGUAGGAUUAUAUUUACGUAAAAUUUAAAAAUAUUCAAAACUAAACACUAUGUUUUUAGGAUACACACAUGUAUAGUAAAAUUCUAAAGAAAAUCAAGGAAAUAAAAUCACAAAAUAAGGGGCCAGCCCCGUGGCCGAAUGGUUAAGUUCGUGCGCUCUGGU